rnacentral:lncRNA from 1 species
GCACACUUGCCUUAUCUUAUUCAGCAGAACCUUCUCUAAUUCUAGGGAUGAGUUGGUUGUGCUCUGCUGUUGGUAUUUUGAUGGCCAUCAUCUAGGAGCGUUGGAAAUGUUCUUCUCCCGCAGAACUACAGAUCCACUUCAGGCAGUGAAGAUUCUGCAAUAAAAAAACUGUUCCAGAACUUUGAUCAUGCUUCUCACCUGUCUGCAUACCAAGUUCCCUGAGUAAUUUCUGGAGGUGGAGGAGUAACAAAGAAGGGAACUAUUCAUACUUAAAAUGCGGAUGCUGCUCUAUGUUUUCUACUCUAUUCUUUCUAAAGAUGUGAACUGAUUUUUGACUACCUUUUAAAGUAGUUAAUCUAAUUU